UCAUUAUGUACUGAAUCUAAGCUAAAUGAUUGUGGUAACAACCUCAUGGCACACAGAGAUCACAUGGUGCAAAUGGAUGCUAAAGUUCACUUCACUGCCAGUACUACCAAGCAGAAAGGAAGCAUGUGUUGAACUCUUCCUAAAUAAUUAAUUAGAAGGUAAUUUAUUUUGCAUCACUGUAUUGUAAGAUUGAGGACAGAUGCUUUGGCCCUUUGCCUCAACUCUGC
rnacentral:lncRNA from 1 species